rnacentral:rRNA from 1 species
GACGAACGCUGGCGGCGUGCUUAACACAUGCAAGUCGAACGGCAAGGCCCUGCUUGUGUGGGGUGCUCGAGUGGCGAACGGGUGAGUAACACGUGAGUAACCUGCCCUUGACUUUGGGAUAACUUCAGGAAACUGGGGCUAAUACCGGAUAGGAGCUCCUGCUGCAGGGGGGGGGUUGGAAAGUUUCGGCGGUGGGGGCUGGACUCGCGGCUUAUCAGCUUGUGGGUGGGGGAGUGGCUUACCAAGGCUUUGACGGGUAGCCGGCCUGAGAGGGUGACCGGCCCCCUUGGGCCUGCGAGACGGCCCAGACUCCUACUGUAGGCAGCAGUGGGGAAUCUUGCCCAAUGGGCGGAAGCCUGAUGCAGCGACGCCGCGUGCGUGAUGACGGCCUUCGGGUUGUAAACCGCUUUCGCCUGUUACGACGCGUGAGUGACGGUAAUGGGUAAAGAAGCACCGGCUAACUACGUG